GCACUGACGAGGAGUCCCAAAAUAGAACGAAACGGCCGUCCAGUGC
rfam:Schistosoma mattheei strain Denwood, Zambia genome assembly, scaffold: SMTD_scaffold0009964